GAGGUUUAAAGUUUUUGUAUAGUAUCAAGACUAUUGUUUUGCAUUCUUGAGAUUGCAUGCUUUCUUGAGGUAGGGGUUGAAAAUGGUAUAUAAGCUUCAGAUUCUCCUACCUGUGCCAAAGUCUGAGAGCUAUUAUUACUGAUAUGCCCCUACAAGUGCUGGAGGUGACCAAUUACUGUCCUGCUUUAUCUCCCUAUAAGAUGUCUCUGGGUUUCUUCAAAAUCUGGGAGUGCCACAUAUAGGAGUGCCAUCUUUUCUAAGAUAUAAAGUGGAAACAGGGGUCAGAAGCACUGAUUUUGAUUAUUUAAUCCUUUGGAUUUAGUGGAGUGCUCAUCUGAGCCAGGGACAAGCAAAACCACAAGUGUCGGCCAACACAGUGCUGCCCCUCUGGGGGCGGCAGAGGGACUUCCUCUGCCUCUGCAGGCCUUCGCUCUCGGAGGUCUUAACCAGUGGAAGGCAGCAUGGUUCAGAACUGCCUCACCUUCUCAGUCCUCCGACAACAGCUACUUUCUCUCUCAAAAGGGUCUUCUUUUAACACUUAGUCUCUAAAGAGUGACCAGCAGUAACUGUGGCCAUCAACCAUUCCUAGGAGAGCCUUCCUAGCUCUGCCAUGCAAGCCCUGAGCUCAUUUCAACCAUCCCUACAGUGCAGAGUGAGAGAAGCUCCUAUCAUCUGGGCUUGAGAAGUCUUAGAAUCUUCAGC
rnacentral:lncRNA from 1 species